GUGAGGUGGCCGAGUGGUUAAAGGCGCACGCUUGGAAAGCGUGUUUAGGUUAGUAGCCUAUCAUGAACUCGAAUCUCAUUUUCACCA
rnacentral:tRNA from 1 species